ACUCCAUCUUGAUGAGAGUUGGUGUUUGUGGGUUAUUUGUGAAGCCGGAAAGAAGCCGUGUCCUGGAGAAUGUAGCUGAAGGCCUGGCCACUUUCGACAAGAACGGGAAAGAGACGACUAACUUGUACUAAUAUCUUAGUGCUUGGCAGGGCAUUUUUUCAUUCCAGGAAAGAAGAGAAUCCAGCUGAGAUCAAGGGAGGGACGUCCGACGGAGGCGCCAUCUUUAACAAGGGCUAUUUGGGAGGCCAUCUUGGCGCAGGGCGUCUUUUUGAAAGGUUACCUGCUAGAGAUUACGACCUAUCGGGGCAUGCAUAGAAUUGGAUAUGUUCCUUGUUAUUCGCGUCAGCAGUCACUCAUCCAAAGACCCCAAAGCUUCUAGUGUUCUAAAGGCUCACACCUUCUGUGACAGGAAUCUUGAUUCCCAUUCUUCUCAAUCAAGACCUACCCUGAAUGGAUUUGGAGUAGUGUGGUAUAAUGGGAAAAAUUCAAGCUUGGGGGCCAGGCAGAUCCAGGUUUCAAACCCAUCUCUGCCACUUCUUACCUCUGAGACCUUUGGCAAACAUUUUGACUUAAUUGAGCCUUAGUUUCCUCAUCUAUAAACUGGAGAUACUAGCACCAACCUUCCAGAAUUGUGUGGAUUAAAUAAAAUCAAGGACAUAGAUUUUGUGAGCACAGGAUACUUAGUCCAGUUCCUGGCACAUAAUGAACGCAUUAUGUAAAUAUAAGUUUCUCUUCCUUAUUUCCUGACCACCAUGAACCUAGCUCUAGUUUCUGGCCACUAGUCUCCAUGACAACAACUGAGGAAGAGCACCCAAACAAGAAGAAGAAAAAGAAUGUUUUGCCAAAUAUGUGAAGAUAUAAUACCUAUCACCAAAGACUUUAAUAAGAAUAAUGAGACUCCACACUAUGUGUAAAAAUACAGCUUUUAUUCUGAGACAUUGACCUUCACUAGAGUGGGACCUGUGGCCCCAGCCUGGCUGGAGAAGCAGUCCCAGGGCCUGAGUGACACCAUUUCCCUUUCCUGAAAUAGGAACAAGUUAUUCCAAAGGAGAAAGGAGAGCCCAGAGAGAUCUGUACAGGACCUCUCUUGCACAUGGUGACUGGAGGCAGAGGGUGGGGAGCUGGAGAGGAGUCCAGUCCCUCCAACAAAUAUUGAGGGCUUCAAAGAGCUCUUCCUGGACGUUUCUCUUAAUCUGGAUUUAAAAGGGACAGGAGGUAUCUUAGGGUCCAAGAACAUAACAGGAAUGGGCAACUCUAGAAGUGUUUGUGUGUGGAAGGCCCUAACCUGGCCCUGUCCUCCCUGUCUCUACCUUUGGCUUUCAUGAAGAGAGAUUCACAGCUCAGAGGAAGGGAGGAAUUUCUCCAGUCUUCACUUUAACAAACUCUUUUAAGUUUUCUGCCUACCUUAUGUUCCCUUUGGCCAAUGACCCACUCCCUGGGAACAAGAUCUUGUUGACUUUCUUGGGAAUCUCCUAAGAGAUAAGUGCUUUGUGUCGGAGACAAGUUCAGGUAAACCAACCAAGGCAGUGCCUCCCACAGUCAAAGAGAGAAGCUGGAGGGCCAAAGCCUAUAGAGUUGGGCACUACAGCUGCUCAUGCUGCAGAGGAGACAGCUAGUCAGGAACCCUGGAGAUUCAAGACAACUUGCUGGUCCCCUUUGCCCAGGGCUGUGGUCCUAAUCACAGUCCUUCACCUUUCCCAGGGUUAGCCUGUGUUUCAAAUGCAUAUGACCUGCGCUGAGAGGACAACAGGGGGUCAGGAACCUGGGGUUCUCUGGGGGGCAGACUAAGACGACUCCGGGAUCCAGACCCUUCUGCACCUUCAGAUGGGAGCUCCAGGCAGCUAAGGGGCCGAGGAGAAUGGGCAGAGAUCAUGCUACAAGGGGAGGUUCUGGGGAUGAGGCAGUAAUCCCCACCCUCAGUACAGGUCUGGGUUCGCCGAACUCCUUGAGCCUCAGUCCUUUGGCGGUCCCGGGCUAGGGCCACAGCAGCAUCAAAGGAAAGACUACCCCCAUUCCUCCAAGAGGAUCGAGAAGCUCGGGACCCCCAAGCCCUUUCUCCAGGAGUCCCAUCAAGCCGGCCAGGCCUCGGGCAUGGAUUUGCAGGUGCCACAUGAAUCUUGCUACACAUUGCACUGGGCAUCUUGGCAAACUGUGGCUUGGGGGGCACCACAGGCACAGAGCGGACCUGUUGGACCUGAACCAGAGUGGAAGCUAGACGCAUGCCCACGCCACCCAGGCCAAGAGAACAGGGGCAUAGACAGCCGUCUGGACUGGGCUGCCCCUCAGGCUCCAUCUCCUCUGGCUGA
rnacentral:lncRNA from 1 species